GUAGGUCCGGGGGGCUUUGAACUGCUGUGGGGGGAAGCACGGUCACUGCGUGAUCCAGCAGGGAGCGAAUGGUGAGACCGACCCUGAGUGGG
rnacentral:ncRNA from 1 species